rnacentral:rRNA from 1 species
GACGAACGCUGGCGGCGUGCUUAACACAUGCAAGUCGAACGGAAAGGCCCUGCUUUUGUGGGGUGCUCGAGUGGCGAACGGGUGAGUAACACGUGAGUAACCUGCCCUUGACUUUGGGAUAACUUCAGGAAACUGGGGCUAAUACCGGAUAGGAUCUCCUGCUGCAUUGUGGGGGUUGGAAAGUUUCGGCGGUUGGGGAUGGACUCGCGGCUUAUCAGCUUGUUGGUGGGGUAGUGGCUUACCAAGGCUUUGACGGGUAGCCGGCCUGAGAGGGUGACCGGCCACAUUGGGCCUGAGAUACGGACCAGACUCCUACGGGAGGCAGCAGUGGGGAACAUUGCCCAAUGGGCGGACGCCUGAUGCAGCAACGCCGCGUGCGGGAUGACGGCCUUCGGGUUGUAAACCGCUUUCGCCUGUGACGAAGCGUGAGUGACGGUAAUGGGUAAAGAAGCACCGGCUAACUACGUG